CCAAUUCACAAACCAACAAAACCUGUCUCGUACUUGCCCUCUCUCUUUCUUCCCCUUUACUCCUCUUCUUUAUCACCUCCAACCAGACGCUGCAUCCCCAUUAAUUCAUACCUCUGCUCUACGACAAGCCUCCAUUUACUGAGAAAUAACAAGCCAAUUUUCACAGAUAAUUGCACCAAUACAACAUGGAUCAGAGAAAGCGCAUAAAAUUUUCCUCGGUCAUAACGAUUCUGGCCAAGAAAGCUCUAGGAAUCAGACCUUGCCACUGACCUUCUUCGUCAACACAGAAAUCUCCACUGCGCUCAAUUCAUCUGCCCAGGUAUGUUUUGCUGGCUUUGUUCCAAUAAAUCUAUUUUUUUCAUUCAUUUGUAUGGUUCUUCAGUAGACUCUUCAGAUUUAUAGUAAAAAGCUACCGAAAUGUAUGCUGCCCAUAGGUCCUGCUUCUGAAAAAUUAGGGUUCAAUAAUUUAUGACCGAGAUUAUAUUUAAUUGCUCAUAAUUAGUGUCAACAAAAUUAACUAUAGCUGAGGGAGGUAGUAUGACUAUAAAUACACUUGAAAUAACUUAGAUAUAGGAUGUCUAAUUUUAUUCGAUGCUAAAAAUACCGUGAUACAAUGUUUUUGUUUAAAUUCCAUCAUGUUUGCUUUGGUGUCUUUGUUGACUGAAUGCGCUUGGAUUCGAUUUUUGCUCAACUGUACUAGUUACCAUUCUGCCGUCCCAUUGCUAGAGGAGGUCAUAAUGCUUCUAUUUUUUUUUAUUUUUUUGUAGCAACGUAGUCCGAAACUUUGGUUCCCCCAAUAUUAGAUUGGAACACAUUUAUAUGCCUUUGAAACGCCAUCGAGUCUAUAAAAGCAGCGGUAAGACCACUAUACAAGUUCACCAAGUGUUUGAUUGUCUAUACGAUUGCAAGGUUGUUGUUAUUUCUUGCCUUUCAUUCUAUAAAAUAUUUGUUUCUGAUUCAACAAUAGCCACAUGGACUCCGUAGGAAUGUGCAAUUUAUCGAACAACUAUAACUUCCAUCCUUUAUUAUGUCUUUCUAUUAUACACAACUCACAAUUUCUUGAGUCUUUGUAAUUCAUUUCUAUGUAGUCCAGCCAGCACAUUCCGAGACCGAUUCAAACGAUUUGGGUGCUUGCGCAAGAAAACGACUUUGUAAAGGUAAUACUUGCCUCCUAGUCUGUAGUAAUGAAGUUAUAGGCAAUGAAAUUGACUUUUUCUUAAGCAACCUAGCUAUGUACGCUCAUUAAUAUAUGAUUUUGUUGCGGUAGAUGACUGAUGAAUCUGAAGUAGUUGAUUGGAAGAAUCAUCCAACACUUGAGUCAUCAUUUGUUGCCACACUUGUAGAGUGGCAUAGGAAUGGUGCUUGGGACAAGUUCCAAAAGGGCAGGUCGAACUAGCAUCAUUUAACCCUACACAUGAAUAACAAGUGGCAAGUUAAUUUGAAGUGGGAACAAUACCGAUCCAAAUUUUAUCGACUGGAAUCUGUGUGGAAAUAUUUUGUCAAGCUAAAUGGGAUGUCCAGGUCUACGGCAGAGAUAGGAGUUGGCUUUAAUUCAGAGUUGCUGUGCUUUCAGGCCACAAGGGAGAAACGGAGCGCUCUUACGCUAGUAAACUUAAUCAAAUUAACUUCCGUUGAUACCUAUGAUCUAUUGACUGCAUUGCUGAAAUUUUUUGGCAAGUUUGCUUGAGGACUUUCAUAUGACAACUCUUGUAUUUUGUAUGAUACUUUAUUAAAUUUCAGUUAAUUAUGAUUAAUAAGCUAUGUAUCUAUUAAAGAUGUGGAAAAAUGCUAGAAAUUUUUUUCGAAUUAUUUGCCAUCUUCUUAUAAGGAACAAUAUGUAGACGGACCUACCAUCAAAUUCUUGGUUGCUUCCCUUUUAUUAUUAGUUUUUAUACAAAGCCUUUAGGUAUGAUAGUCUUAUUGCAUUAUGGAUUUAAUAGAUGGUACAAUAGUCUAGGAAAUGCUAUUGCUAUGCCUUAACAAAACGCAUAUGAUACACAGAACGAGGCAAUUAUAUUAAGCAGAUUAGUACUGAGUUUCUGGUUGUCUGACCAAACGAAUGGUGUGUUUCGUAAAGCCAUAUUCAUAUAUUUGCUACCAUCUUUUUUGGUUGUCUGCUGCCCUCUUAUAUCUUUUAUUUCUGUCCUCUUUGUUUAUGUAAUGGUAGCUGGUCAAUAUUUCAAAACUGCUAUAAGUUGUCAAUAUCUAAGUUACUUCAACUUUUAUAUACAUGUCUUCUACCUGAAAAUUGCACUUUCUACAUGGUUCAACCCAUGUCCUUUCACUUGACUUGCAGGAAAAUAAAUUCUUUGCAAGGUUCAAAGAAGGACGAAGCUGUGGCUGUUUCUUUGAACUUACUGAAAUCCUUCAGGGCAGAUCUGCCACAGGCAAGCAUGCCCAAUCGUCCGCCCAGAGUGAUGUCCAUCACUCUGCGUGGUCUGCUGAAAAGACAACUAGUGCUGCAUCACGGGUCAAGGGAAAGGCAAAGGUAAAUGAACCUACGUCAGUGUUUUAGGGUGACGAUAUUUAUAUUCCUGUUGUGGAUGAAGAUGUCGAAUUUGUUGGUAGUAGGCCUGGUAAACGACAAGCCUCCAGUCGAGGGACUUCGUCCUAUGAUGGGUCUAGGAGUACUAAGUCUCAAAAGACUGGUGAGGCUUUACGAGAUACAGCCGGCAACAUGAGCAAAUUGUCACAGAUUAGGAUUGAUGAAAACACGCGACGUAAUGAGUGGUGUGUGGCUGGUUUGAAGGUUUGGGAUAAGAGCUAUCCAAAACAUGAGCCUGUACAUCUGCGGAACCAGAAACGGCUUGCAUGCAUGAAGGAGUUCGCAAGCAGUGAGAGGUAGUGCCACAUGUUCCUUUAAUCGGAUGAAAGUUUCCAAUAUUACUACGCCGAUACUAUUCUUGACCCAAACCCCCCCCCCAUGCCUAGGUAGAAUGAAUAAGUUCGUGAGUUAGGGAUAGCAUGGGAUGCUAUGUUGGGCUGUUUUCGGUCACUGGAGAUGCGGUGACCAAUUUUGGCUUAUUAUUCAUCCCACUAAGCAUUCCCAUGGAUCCACUUUAUUAUAGCUUUCAUGUUUUAUUGGAUGAGUACUUGUAGUACGUUUGUAAUAAUUAUGGGGUGAAUUCGUUUUCUGAACUGUUGUGGAUUUUUCUUAAUUAUGCAUGUGGCAUGGGUGGUCACCAAAUGAUGUUGUAUUAACUCUAUUGCUUGAGGACUUCUUGAUACUAAUUUUGAAUGCGUCGAAACUUGUUCUUUAUCGCCAAUAGAGAGCAAUUUUAC
rnacentral:lncRNA from 1 species